UACGGAGGGUGCGAGCGUUGUCCGGAAUCAUUGGGCGUAAAGGGCGCGUAGGUGGCGGGACAAGCGUGCGGUGAAAGCCUGGGGCUCAACCCCGGGUCGGCCGUGCGAACUGUUUUGCUUGAGCACUGUAGAGGCAGGCGGAAUUCCGGGUGUAGCGGUGGAAUGCGUAGAGAUCCGGAAGAACACCGGUGGCGAAGGCGGCCUGCUGGGCAGUAGCUUACACUGAGGCGCGACAGCGUGGGGAGCAAACAGG
rnacentral:rRNA from 1 species